rnacentral:rRNA from 1 species
UGGGGAAUAUUGGGCAAUGGGCGAAAGCCUGACCCAGCAACGCCGCGUGAGGGAAGAAGGCCUUCGGGUUGUAAACCUCUGUCCUUGGUGACGAAAAAAAUGACGGUAGCCAAGGAGGAAGCCCCGGUUAACUACGUGCCAGCAGCCGCGGUAAUACGUAGGGGGCGAGCGUUGUCCGGAAUUACUGGGCGUAAAGGGUGCGUAGGUGGCCUUCUAAGUUGGAUGUGAAAUCCCCGGGCUUAACUUGGGUGGUGCAUCUAAUACUGGAGGGCUAGAGUGCAGGAGAGGGAAGCGGAAUUCCUGGUGUAGCGGUGAAAUGCGUAGAUAUUAGGAGGAACACCAGUGGCGAAGGCGGCUUUCUGGACUGUAACUGACACUGAGGCACGAAAGCGUGGGGAGCAAACAG